AGAUCCCUGAGAAGCUGCUGGCUAAGGUGGGGGGAGAGGGGGAAAAGAGUGGAGGGGCGAAAGGCCACAAGGCUCAGUGUCGGAUCAGGGUGAUCUGUGUCGCUCCUUCCUGAUGAUCCAUGAGUCUUGUAGAGAGUAUGGAUCCACACUCAGCCAGUUCGUGGCCUUCCUCCAUGUCUACACCUCCAUUUACAGCAGUAAACAGAGCCAGCUCACUCUGAAACACCUACAGGUUCCAGUCUCGUACUACAGAGGCAGCUAAGCUGGAGGCUGAGAUCAGUAAGGCCCAGGAGAACAUCCAGGCAGCAGAGCAACUCAUACACCAACUGGACGGAGAACACUCACGCUGGAAUGCCCAGGUGCCUGAGAUCACUGAGGAGUUGGAUGCUUUGCCUAAGAGAGCGAUGCUGGCAGUAGCCUUCAUCACAUACCUGUCUACCGCUCCAGAGGACAGGAGACGAAAACGCCUGGAGACAUGGAGGAAGGCUUCUGGACUACAGAGAGGCCAGUCUGAAGAGCAUAGUGUACGAAUAUGUCUGCCACUCACUCUUCAAUACUACGUUCCCAGGCCUGUGCCUGUCUCUGUGUCUGAGUGACUCAGACCUCUGGCUCUCCUCACAGAACUCCAACUACGAACAGG
rnacentral:lncRNA from 1 species